GGGGGGGGGAAAUAAAGGAGGGGGCAACGGGACGGCGGGGCAGAAUGGAGCUGAGGGAGAAAUGGGAGCAGGGAUGGCAGCAGGGAUGGGAGCUGGAAUGGGAGCAGGGGAACAGAUGGGAGCCCAGGCAGGGAUGGCAGCAGGGAUGGGAGCAGGGAUGGGAGCCUGGGAAGGGAUGGGAGCAUAGAAAGGGAUGGGAGCAGGAACUGGAGUCUGGGAAAGGAUGGGAGCAGGGAUGGGAGCAGGGAUGGGGGCCGAAAUGGGAGCAGAGAUGGGAGCAGGGGAAGGGAUGGGAGCAGGGAUGGGAGUGUAGAAAGGGGUGGGAGCCCAGGCAGGAAUGGGAGCAGAGAUGGGAGCCUGGAAACAGAUGGGAGCUCGAGCAGGGAUGGGGGCAGAGAUGGGAGCAGGGAUGGGAGCAGGGGAAGGCAUGGGAGCAGAGGUGGGAGCAGGGAUGGGGGCUGAAAUGGGAGCAGAGGUGGGAGCAGGGGAAGGGAUGGGAGCAGGGAAGGGGGCCUGGGAACAGUUGGGAGCUCAAGCAGGGAUGGGAGCGUGGGCAAGGAUGGGAGCAGGGAUGGGAGCCUGGGAAGGGGUGGGAGCAGGGAAGGGGGCAGAGAUGGGAGCCUGGGAAGGGGUGGGAGCCCAGGCAGGGAUGGGAGCAGAGAUGGGAGGCUGGAAACAGGUGGGAGCUCAGGCAGGGAUGGGAGCAGGGAUGGGAGCCUGGGAAGGGGUGGGAGCAGGGAAGGGGGCAGAGAUGGGAGCCUGGGAAGGGGUGGGAGCCCAGGCAGGGAUGGGAGCAGCGGGGGGAGGCGGGGGAGGGGGGGCGGGAAACGGGUGGGAGCCCAGGCAGGGAUGGGAGCCGUGGGGUGACGGCGUGGGGCUGCGGUGGCAGCCGUGGGGUGACGGCGUGGGGCUGCCAGCCGUGCUGCAGCGGCUGCUGGAGGAGCGCAGGGCCGAGACCGCAGGGGGUCUGCAGACACCUGGAGCAGGUGUGUCGGUGUCACCCGCUGCGUCUCCGUCGCUCACCGUGCCAGCGCCACGCAGCAGCUCACCAACACCCGCUGUGUCACCAGCACCCUUCAUGUCACCACGACUCGUUGCAUCACCAGGACCUCCUGUGUCACCAGGACCUGCUGUGUCACCAGGCCCCUCCAUGUCACCACAACCUGAUGUGUCACCGCGACCCAUUGCAUCACCGCGACCCGUUGUGUCACUGGGACCCUCGGUGUCACCAGGACCCGCUGCAUCACCAGGAUCCAUCGUGUCACCAGCAGCUGUUGUGUCACCACGACCCGUUGCGUCACCGCGACCCUCCGUGUCACCAGGACGCACUGCAUCACCGCGACCUGUUGUGUCAGCAGGACGGGUUGUAUCACCAGGACCGGUUGUGUCACCACGACCUGUUGUGUCAGCAGGACCCAUUUUAUCACCACGACCGGUUGUGUCAGCAGGACGCGUUGUGUCACCGGGACGGGCUGUGUCACCGGGACGGGUUCUGUCACCAGGACGGGCUGUGUCACCACGACGUGUUGCAUCACCACGACAGGUUGUGUCACCACGACGGGUUGUAUCACCAGGACCGGUUGUGUCACCACGACAGGUUGUGUCACCGGGACGUGUUGUGUCACCACGAGGUGUUGUGUCACCAGGACGGGCUGUGUCACCACGACAGGUUGUGUCACCAGGACAGGCUGUGUCAGCAGGCCGUGUUGUGUCACCAGGAUGGGCUGUGUCACCACGUGUUGUGUCACCAGGACAGGCUGUGUCAGCAGGCCGUGUUGUGUCACCACGUGUUGUGUCACCACAGGCUGUGUCAGCAGGCCGUGUUGUGUCGGGCCGCCCUCCGUCGCCGCCCAGCUGCGCGUUCUGCCGUCACAACGGCGAGUCCCGCGCGGUGUUCUCCAGCCAUGCCCUGCGGGACGCCCGCGGCCGCGUGCUCUGCCCCAUCCUGCGCAGCUACGUCUGCCCGCAGUGCGGAGCCUCGCGCGACCGCGCGCACACACGGCGCUUCUGCCCGCUCACACCCACCUGGUACAGGUCUGUGUAUGGCAACAACACCACCAGCAGCAACAACAGCAACAACAGCACCAACACCAACAGCUCCUACAGGUCUGUGUACGGCACUAGCAGCACCAGCAGCAACAGCACCAACACCAACACCAACAGCUCCUACAGGUCUGUGUAUGGCACCAGCAGCAACAACAGCACCACCACCAACAGCACCAACAGCACCAACACCAACAGCAACAGCAACAACAGCAACAGCAACAGCUCCUACAGGUCUGAGUACGGCACCAACACCAACAGCAACAACAGCAGCAACAGCAACAACUCCUACAGGUCUGCGUACGGCACCAACAGCACCAACAGCACCAGCAGCUCGUACAGACCUGUGUGUGGCACCACCACCACCACCAACAGCACCAACAACAACAGCACCAGCACCAACAGCACCAGCACCAACAGCACCACCAGCACCAACAGCACCACCAGCACCAACAGCACCACCAGCACCAACAGCACCAGCAGCACCAACAGCACCAGCACCAACAGCACCACCAGCUCGCACAGAUCCGCGUAUGGCAGCACCAGCAGCGACAGCAGCAUCAACACCAACAGCACCAACACCAACAGCACCAACAGCAACAGGAACAACAGCAUCAACAACUCGUACAGAUCUGCGUAUGGCUGCACCAGCAACAGCAGCAACAGCAGCAACACCAACCGCGCCAACAGCACCAACACCAACAGCAGCAACAGCAGCAACAGCAGCAACACCAACAGCACCAACAGCAGCUGGAACAGAGCUGCGCAUGGCAGCGCCAACAGCAGGGGGAGCAACGGCCCCGGGGAGGGGUGACGAUGUGCUACAGGCUGCGCUCAGUGCUCCUGGGACAGCAGGCAGCCAGCAGCGCUUGUGCACCGUCAGCUGUGCACCGUCAGCUGUGCAGCAUCAGCUGUGCACCACCACUUGUGCACCGUCAGCUGUGCACCACCAGCAGUGCAGCAUCAGCUGUGCACCAUCACUUGAGCACCAUCACUUUCAGCAGUGCAGCACCACUUGUGCACCAUCACUUAUGCACCGUCAGCUGUGCACCAUCACUUGUGCACCACCAGCAGUGCACCAUCAGCUGUGCACCAUCACUUGUGCACCACCACUUGUGCACCACCAGCUGUGCACCACCAGCUGUGCAGCACCACUUGUGCAGCACAGGCACAACGCAGAGCCGGGCCCCACGUUGGGGCUGUUGUUGGUUUGGUUGACAGAACUGUUGUGGGUUGGGGGGGAGGGGGGGGUUUGUUGUUAUUGGUGUCACACGGGGGCACUUUGUUGUGUUGUUGUGACACGGGAGCACCUCGUUGUGUUGUUGUGCUGUUGUUAUCACACGGGGGCACUUUGUUGUUGUGUUGUUGUGACACGGGGGCACUUUGUUGUGUUGUUGUGUUGGUGUCACACGGGGUCACUUCGUUGUGUUGUGUCGUUGUGACACGGGGGCACGUUGUUGUGUUGUUGUUGUGACACGGGGGCACCUCGUUGUGCUGUUGUGCUGUUGUUAUCGCACGGGGGCACGUUGUUGUGUCGUUGUGUCGUUGUGUCGUUGUGUCGCAGGCUCACACUCGUGUCGGUGCCGCUGGUGUCACAGAUGAGUUUGAGGGGCAGCGCCGUGCAUCACAGUGUGUUUGUGCCUCAAUAAACAACCACGUUUUUCCUCA
rnacentral:lncRNA from 1 species